rnacentral:misc_RNA from 1 species
UCCGGUUUAACACCGGCAGUCUCUCUAGAGUUCCCAGCUUUACCUGAUGGCAACUAAAGACAAGGGUUUCGCUCGUUAAGGGACUUAACCCGACAUCUCACGACACGAGCUGACGACAGCCAUGCAACACCUUCGUACGUUCCACCGGUUAAGGUGUCACUCUACUUUCAUAGAGCUAAUCCGUACGCUUCGAGCCCGGGUAAGGUUCUUCGCGUUGCAUCGAAUUGAGCAACAUGCUCCACCGCUUGUGUGGGCCCCCGUCAAUUCCUUUGAGUUUUAGCCUUGCGGCCGUACUCCCCAGGCGGGGCGCUUAAUGCGUUAGCUGCGGCACUCAGGGGGUCAAUACCCCGAACACCUAGUGCCCAUCGUUUACAGCGUGGACUAC